GACGAACGCUGGCGGCGUGCUUAACACAUGCAAGUCGAACGGAAAGGCCCUGCUUUUGUGGGGUGCUCGAGUGGCGAACGGGUGAGUAACACGUGAGUAACCUGCCCUUGACCUUGGGAUAACUUCAGGAAACUGGGGCUAAUACCGGAUAGGCGCUCCUGCUGCAUGGUGGGGGUUGGAAAGUUUCGGCGGUUGGGGAUGGACUCGCGGCUUAUCAGCUUGUUGGUGGGGUAGUGGCUUACCAAGGCUUUGACGGGUAGCCGGCCUGAGAGGGUGACCGGCCACAUUGGGACUGAGAGACGGCCCAGACUCCUACGGGAGGCAGCAGUGGGGAAUAUUGCACAAUGGGCGGAAGCCUGAUGCAGAAACGCCGCGUGCGGGAUGACGGCCUUCGGGUUGUAAACCGCUUUCGCCUGUGACGAAGCGUGAGUGACGGUAAUGGGUAAAGAAGCACCGGCUAACUACGUG
rnacentral:rRNA from 1 species